rnacentral:rRNA from 1 species
GACGAACGCUGGCGGCGUGCUUAACACAUGCAAGUCGAACGGAAAGGCCCUGCUUUUGUGGGGUGCUCGAGUGGCGAACGGGUGAGUAACACGUGAGUAACCUGCCCUUGACUUUGGGAUAACUUCAGGAAACUGGUGCUAAUACCGGAUAGGAGCUCCUGCUGCAUGGUGGGGGUUGGAAAGUUUCGGCGGUUGGGGAUGGACUCGCGGCUUAUCAGCUUGUUUGUGGGGUAGUGGCUUACCAAGGCUUUGACGGGUAGCCGGCAUGAGAGGGUGACCGGCGACAUUGGGACUGAGAUACGGCCCAGACUCCUACGGGAGGCAGCAGUGGGGAAUAUUGCACAAUGGGCGGAAGCACGAUGCAGAAAAGCCGCGUGCGGGAUGACGGCCUUCGGGUUGUAAACCGAUUUCGCCUGUGACGAAGCGUGAGUGACGGUAAUGGGUAAAGAAGCACCGGCUAACUACGUG